CACACACACACACACACACACACACACACACUCACACUCACACUGACACUGACACUGACACUGACACUCACACUCACGCUUAAGCUCUGCUUCCAUUGAUAAAUCUGCAGCACCAGCACUUUCACUCUAGGAGCUGUCCAGUGCUAGAGUUUCUUUAAGGAUGAUGACAUGAUGGUAAAAUGGGAGCGUAACAGCCCAGCUCACAACAACCCAAAACCUUUGGCUGGGCCGUUGUUGCUCCACAGGCUUGAGCUGAGAGUCCUCGGUGCCAAACUCGGAUGGGUCAGAGUGAUCCGUGUACACUUUAACCAUCAGUCUGGACAGAAUCCUGAUUGUGUGUGUGUGUGUGUGUGUGAUCAUCAUUAUUAUUAUUAUUAUUAUUUCGCUUGGAACGUUAAUGGAGAACAGAAGUGCUCUGUGAUCUGAAUGUUUUGAAACCGCGUGCCAGUGGCUCUCUGCAAUUGGAUGGACAUUUGGUGACCGCUUGGAAAUUGCCGUUGAGAAAAGAAUGACUAAUGGCUUUGCCUGUUUUUGACAGUGGGGAUGUAAAAUAUCACUCAAUUUCAGAUUGAGGUCAGAUUACACUGGGCGGUUGUGCCUCCAUACUGCCUCUGGUGGUCAGAUAUGUCUGAUUAUGAGUGACGCUCUUGAGAUUGGUGCCCAGGAUAGACUUUAGGAUUUGGGUUCUUUUUGUAUCUAUUUAUUAACAUGGAACGUUUGAAUAAGCAUCAUAAAACUCCUCAACAUAUGCAAUUUAUUGUAAGGGUGAUUUUAUUAUUUGGCAUAUUCACAUUCUUCACAUUAUAGUUCCACUGUUUUCUACAAGGGAAGCAGCAGAAUAGACUUUCCUCAACUUGGCUGAGUUUAGAACUGGUUUAAGGUAUAGGCUGACUGGGCCCUUCUGUGUGCAGUGGUUAUGUAUUCACAAGUGAUGUUUUCCCGACUUCAGUUCUUAUGAGACUUUAAGAGCUCAAAACUGAUCCAAAACCCGAUUCUCCCGAUAUCACAAAAAUUGUGUGUCUGAAAUGCAUAUCUUGAAUAUAAUCUCAUGUUUGCCUUCCCCAGUAUAGAAAAAGAAAAUGUAUUUAGGGAAUUGAUUGAUCUGAUUAUGGGAUUUGAGUAUGAAGACUACAUAAUCUGCACUGGGUUCAGGUAAAAUACAACCAGGUUUUGUAAUCACCUCUCUCUGUGUUUGGGCAUAGCAGGACACUUCAGCAGGAGCUGUUUACUUUAGCUUUUCCCAUUACAAAUAUUAUUAAUAUUAUUAUGAUGAAAUAUUAUUGCGGCCCCCCACACUUUGGAAGCGACAGAUGUGGAGUGUGUUCUGAGUGACGGGUGUGUAUUCUAGAGACGGGCCGCGAGCGAGCGAGCUCCUGCGUGAACGGUGAUUACAGAAAGGAUACAGUACAUUACUGUAGGUGCUGACUCAGACUUUCCCAUCUCAUCUCGGGAAGUGUGAUUUAGACAUUUAAAAAAAAAUGCAAAAUGUAACAUAUGUGAAUAAAAUAUGAAGAUGCUCUGAUUUUGUGUGCUGUGUCAUUGUCAUUGUCUCUUUUUAAAUUGCACAUUUGGAACAGGUAGAAGAUGAAUUAAUUGAUGAAUUGAACUAUUUCACCUUGGGUCACUGGUUGUGGGCCACAAAGCAAAAUAUUUUAACUGAUGAGACUUGUCUGUCAACUAGGCCACUAGAGGGGGCCCAUCAUAACACAGUUUGACAAUUUAACAACUAUUCUGUUUGUUCAACCAACUGUCCAGCCAAAACAAUGCAUAACUCCGUUAUGAAAACCUCGAACUUUCGGCUAUUAAACUCAUGACAUUUUUGGGGUUGAGGACGGUUUAAAGAUUUCCCGUGACUGCGCUCACCAUCAGGUCGGUAAUUUAAUAGACUAUCUAAAGCGGAGACGUACAGAACUACUGUAUUGGAUCUAAUGUCUCACAAUGGUUGUGCUAAGAGUUAGGCUGCCAAUGUUAAUGUUACAUUGAUUUAGGAAGUUAAAUCGUUCUGGUAAACUGCAGCCUUACUUUUCUAAGUAAACAUGUAUAGAUCCUUGUAAUGACACUGACAGCUGUUGGACGUGUGGGUAUAGUCUACCGUACCGUUUGAGCUUGUCGAUGACGCAGAGCGCAACCCUCAGCGGAUGCUCUUCGUCUCACUGUUCUAAUGAGUAGGCCUACGCAUUAACAAAGUAUCCCGAACCUCAGAAACCUAAGCCGUUGUAAACAUGUUUGCGCUCUGAAAAGAAAGUGGGCUAGGGUUACAAACAGAGGAUGAAAUAGCCCUCACAGGAAUGUGAACAAUGUGAAAUCUAUGUGAUCGCGUUGUUAUUAAGCCAUUGGUCUGUGAGGCGUGCACGGGAAACAGACACAACUUAGAUUAAAGUUAAACUUUCACCCUUGUCUAAGCCAUAAUUCUCCUUGAAAGAUGCAUGUCAGCAGAAAACUACAGGAUACGUUGUGCAGGCGUGUUGAAAACAUAACAAAACACUUGUUUGUGGGUACUGAAGCUACAGGGCAGACUAUGCCACUGUUUCCAGAGGAACAACGGGAGGCUCCGAUUUAUGUAAUGAAAGAAAUUUGUUGCGUAUUGGCCUGGAAAAUUUACAAAGCCGUUGCCUCACAAUAAAAUUAGGUAAAGUGACAGGUCUUUGACACAGCAGCAAAUCUCUCAGCUUCCACGGCGUAGCCAAGGAAGGCCUUUUAAAGACUUUAACUUGCUACAGCCUUACCCCAUUUCAAUGCAUACUGUCAUGCUGUUUUUCAAUACAGCAGCUGCUUUACUUUUGUAGCCUAGUUUACUGGCGACAAGUGAGACUGUUCUGGGCAAUAACACCGUAGACGACGGCAGUUAUCGAGUUCUAGUUAAUUAUUAAACACAUAACCGGCCGGAGAGGAAGCCUUCAAAAUCACUUCGGAUAUGUUACCAAAAGGACUAUGGAAGGAUUCAUCAAUGGACAGACAAACGAAGCACCACACGGGCAGAGGGAUGGGAAGACUGAGGAUAAUCAGCCAGAGACCAAUGAGUUUUUCCACCUUCAUGGCCGGAUAUGGUGAGAGAACGCACGACUGAGCCCAAACACAUGGUUCACUCCAUGGUCAUAUAUAUUCACAUCUGGUUCACUCCAUGG